rnacentral:rRNA from 1 species
UACAUGGGGUGCAAACGUUGCUCGGAAUUAUUGGGCGUAAAGCGCGCGUAGGCGGUUACUCAAGUCGGAUGUGAAAGCCCUCGGCUUAACUGAGGAAGUGCACCCGAAACUGAGUAGCUAGAGUACUAAAGAGGGUCGCGGAAUUCCCGGUGUAGAGGUGAAAUUCGUAGAUAUCGGGAGGAACACCGGUGGCGAAAGCGGCUCACUGGACCACAACUGACGCUGAUGCGCGAAAGCUAGGGGAGCAAACAGG